ensembl:snoRNA SNORD115 Small nucleolar RNA SNORD115
GGGUCGAUGAUGAGAACCUUAUAUUGUCCUGAAGAGAGGUGAUGACUUAAAAAUCAUGCUCAACAGGAUUACGCUGAGGCCC